GAAAGGGAACCUGAAAGCCCACUCCCCCAUCAGAAGGCAUUACAGGGUUCCCUGGGACCCCUGCAGGUGCUUGGGAAACAGGCAGAUAAGGCACUUAGGAGACAUUGUGGGUCAGGAGUGACCCUAUGGGUCAGGCUUUGAGGAUGGAAGCAGCCAGCCCUUGGCAUAGUGUUCUCAGACAGACUCAGCCCAGGAGCGGGUCGUGAAAUCAAUUUGGUGGGGUGUGACCUGCAUUUUAAAUAGGAAAUUAGAAUCACAUCACCCUUGGUAAGGGUAAGUUUUGGUUUGUGUGUGCUAGGUCAUGAUGUCAAAAGUACUUCUGACUGUUGGUCACAUUAAAAAAACUGAGGCAGGGUGCGAUGGCUAACUCUUGUAAUCCCAGAGCUCUGGAAGGCUGAGGCUGAAGGAUGGUUUGAGCUCAGGAGUUUGAGACCAGCCUGGGCAACAUGGUGAUACCUCCUCUCUACAAAAGAUAAAAACAAAAUUAGCCAGGCAAGGUGGCAGUGGUGCUUGCCUGUGGUCCCAGCUACUCAGAAGGCUGAGGUGUAAGAAUCCCCAGAGCCCAGGAGGCGGAGGUUGCAGUGAGCUGAGAUGGCACCACUGCACUCCAGCCUGGAAGACAGAAUGAGACUUGGUCCCCUCCCCCACCAAAAAAAAAAAAAAAAAAA
rnacentral:lncRNA from 10 species